rnacentral:tRNA from 1 species
GCAUUGGUAGUUCAGUAGUAGAAUUCUUGCCUUCCAUGCAGGCAACCCAGGUUCAAUUCCCAGCUGGCACA